ACACACACACCAGGAAUGAACCACCAACUAACAUGUACAACACACCAGGAAUGAACCACCAACUAACAUGUACAACACACACACACACACCAGGAAUGAACCACCAACUAACAUGUAAUAUAAUAAUAAUAUAUGCCAUUUAGCAGACGCUUUUAUCCAAAGCGACUUACAGUCGUGUGCAUACAUUCUACAAUGUGUGCAUACAUUCUACGUAUGGGUGGUCCCGGGAAUCGAACCCACUACCCUGGCGUUACAAGCGCCAUGCUCUACCAACUGAGCUACAGAAGGACCACACAACACACACACAGGAAUGAACCACCAACUAACAUGUACAACACACACACACACACACACACACACCAGGAAUGAACCACCAACUAACAGGUACAACACACACACACACACCAGGAAUGAACCACCAACUAACAGGUACAACACACACACACACACACCAGGAAUGAACCACCAACUAAUAGGUACAACACACACACACCAGGAAUGAACCACCAACUAAUAGGUACAACACACACACACACACCAGGAAUGAACCACCAACUAAUAGGUACAACACACACACACACACCAGGAAUGAACCACCAACUAAUAGGUACAACACACACACACACACCAGGAAUGAACCACCAACUAAUAGGUACAACACACACACACACACCAGGAAUGAACCACCAACUAAUAGGUACAACACACACACACACCAGGAAUGAACCACCAACUAAUAGGUACAACACACACACACACACCGGGAAUGAACCACCAACUAAUAGGUACAACACACACACACACCAGGAAUGAACCACCAACUAAUAGGUACAACACACACACACACACCAGAAAUGAACCACCAACUAAUAGGUACAACACACACACACACUAGGAAUGAACCACCAACUAAUAGGUACAACACACACACACACACACACCAGGAAUGAACCACCAACUAAUAGGUACAACACACACACACCAGGAAUGAACCACCAACUAAUAGGUACAACACACACACACCAGGAAUGAACCACCAACUAAUAGGUACAACACACACACACACCGGAAAUGAACCACCAACUAAUAGGUACAACACACACACACACACCAGGAAUGAACCACCAACUAAUAGGUACAACACACACACACCAGGAAUGAACCACCAACUAAUAGGUACAACACACACACACACCAGGAAUGAACCACCAACUAAUAGGUACAACACACACACACACCAGGAAUGAACCACCAACUAAUAGGUACAACACACACACACACACCAGGAAUGAACCACCAACUAAUAGGUACAACACACACACACACCAGGAAUGAACCACCAACUAAUAGGUACAACACACACACACCAGGAAUGAACCACCAACUAAUAGGUACAACACACACACACCAGGAAUGAACCACCAACUAAUAGGUACAACACACACACACCGGGAAUGAACCACCAACUAAUAGGUACUACUGUAGUUUUCAAAGUGAUUUUACCUCUGUCAGAAAUGUCCUAAUGGGCAAGAUGCUGGAACAAAAGCUGGCAGCCAGUGCUUAAUUUGAGCCGGGUUCCUGCCGGGAAACGGGAUCCGACACCUGUCUGUUUUGGACUGUUUCGGUCCGGGAACCUAUUUGGCCGGAUCCGAUAUCUCUUUGUGGCUCAAAAAAAUAAAUGUCACUUUUUUCAAUGUAAAAAUGUGAAUAAAAGCGGCCAAAGUGUCAUUUCGAGUUGCCUCUUGGUGAAUUGUCCUCCUGUAACCCGCGUGGCCGUGGCUGUAUGAGUAGCACGCUUGUAACUCUCACAAGAACUAGAAUGACAUUCCCUUUCCAGCAUCUCUCUCUGCUCUGCUAGACGUGAGCCUGCAACUCUCAUCCCUCCAGAGUUGCACUUCAUCAUUUAUUUAUAGAACCAUAGCAAAGAGUUCUGGAGGAGCUGCAACACCCUUCAUAGAUUGAAAUACAUUAGCCAAAGUUAGUGUUACUGCUGUCUGUCCAAAAUCAAUGAAAUAAUUCAGUAUAGCCUACCUACUACAUCAUGAUUAGGCCUAGAAUUGAGCCACAUAGGGUCAGUAGCUUCUUUGAAACAAUUACCUAGCUGUGGAUUGAGUGUAUCCCAAUAACAAGACACAGCCUACAGUUGGGAACGCGCCGCAAAUCGGUCAGUGAGCAGCAUGCCAGACAAAACGGGUUGGAAAGCAAAUGGUUCCUGCUGAAAAGACAAUACUAUUGAUCUGUCUGCUCUAGGCGAACAAAAUGUUUGAACGGCUUCCAAAUAUUGUUUUACAAAGCAAAACGAGCGAGCUGCGCGUCAUCGGGUGACACUGGAAAGCAUUUUUGGGACGCUCAUUUCCUCCAACAAUAUGCGUCUCCACACACCUCGACCUCUAGGCUAUUGAUGGAUUCAUGACCAGGUCGUUUUUUAUUGAUCUAUAAGAGUUUCAGUUUGUGAGUGUCAAAGUAAGCCUGUCAUUUCAUUUGAGCGGAGUUGAAACAAAUUCUGCCGGUCUCCAGUCAAGUCAGAUGACGUAGAAUUAGCAUGAAAUGCGUUUUUACAAAAGGCCAUAUUUUUCCCCGGACCCUAGGCUACUAAAUAAAUGUACCCCAAAGUGGUGCACCUUCUGUAAGUGCCUCUACUCUACUGCUCUGUGCCACUGCGCAAAUCAAAUCACAUUUUAUUGGUCACCUACACGUGUCUCGCAGAUGUUAUCGCGAGCGUAGCGAAAUGCUUGUGUUGUAAUGUAACAAUUUCACAACAAUGCGACGAUAUGCAUGCAAUGCUUUUUUUUUUAAGUAGAUUUAUUUCGUUAUCAUGCGAUCCGGUAGCUGAGCUCCCCCAGGUCGUCACCCCCCCGCGCUCACUUUUUGUUUUGGCACCUCCCCAUUUACACAUUUAAGCACUGCUGGCAGCCUCCUGGACUAGAAUUUGCCCUGCAAUUGCAAAGAUUAGCUGUCAUCACGUAAAUAAUGAGAGAGAUGCUUACCACAUUAAAAUACUGCACACCCCUUGAGAACAGAGACGGAGCUCAACGUUAAAUCAAAUCAAAGUUUAUUUGUGAUGUACGCAGGAUACAGCGGGCGUAAGCAGUGCAAUGACAUGCCUACAGAAAAGGAGUUGUCUCCUUAUUCCUGCCCAUUCUUCUCCCCGGAGAGCCAUGUAGACCCCUUGCUAGCAUCAGAUCCAACACUCCGCCCAACCCGUCCCAAACAAUCACACCCUCUUCUUAUCUGACGUUGUUGUCUGAGAUCUAAACCGUUGGCUUGUGUUGACGUCGUUCUUAAAGGCCCAAAACAUUUAAUCUCAACAACAGCCCCAUGAUAAUCCUCUAAAAUGUGACACCCCCCCCCCCUCCCAGUCCCCCUUCGUCCUGGUCUCCCUUCAUCCCUCCCCGGAAUGAAAACAUACAGGUCAUAAUCUCAUCACGGAGAGAGAAUAAUCCUCUGUCGUCCUCUCCCUCAUCCCUCCCUCCAUUUAUCUCCCUAUUUUUUUAUGACUCUCCAUGUCUGAUGUUUUCACUUUAAAUAUGUUGUGUUGAUGAAUGGAGGAUGUCUUGAGGGGAAUGAAUAACCUACUAUUAUUUGUUUUCCUUUAUCUUCUCUAUCGUUCUCUCUCGCUCUUUCUUUCUCCAU